rnacentral:snoRNA from 1 species
GUAGCACCUUAGAGACCAACUAAGUUUGUUCUUGGUAUGAGCUUUUGUGUGCAUGCACAUGUGUAUCUGAAGAAGUGUGCAUGCACAUGAAAGCUCAUACCAAGAACAAACUUAGUUGGUCUCUAAGGUGC